UACGGAGGGUGCAAGCGUUGUUCGGAAUCACUGGGCGUAAAGCGCGUGUAGGCGGUCUUUUAAGUCUGAUGUGAAAGCCCGGGGCUUACCCCCGGAAGUGCAUUGGAAACUGGGAGACUAGAGUACCGGAGAGGAAGGUGGAAUUCCUGGUGUAGCGGUGAAAUGCGUAGAUAUCAGGAGGAACACCGGUGGCGAAGGCGGCCUUCUGGACGGAUACUGACGCUGAGACGCGAAAGCGUGGGGAGCAAACAGG
rnacentral:rRNA from 1 species